AUUGUCAGCUCGUGCCGUAAGAUAUCGGGUGCAUUGAUUUCAUUGAACCACUAUUGAAUGAACAGAACCAACGAAGAUCGUCUAUUGGUAGGUUGAACAAGAUAACCAUAAUAAGACUGAAUGGGAUCCCUAUGAUCAACAUGUUCUGAAUUAAACAAGGUUGAUUUCUUCUAUGUCGAUCUCUAUUAGAGGUAUCAUUGAAUUAAUAGUCUAGUGAUUGAACCUAAUAAUUGAAUAUUUCUCUAUGAUGAGACCGGAAUUGCAUUUAAAAAAUAGCUGAGGUGUAGUCGCAAAAUUUGAAGGUAGGGACAAAUGGAUUGGCAGAUUAAGAAAGCUAGGCUUGAAACUCGACGAUCUUCACCACGGAUGAGUCCCCAAUCUUUUGGAAGACAACUAUUUGGUCGUUGGGCUUAAGCAAUCCCACAGAUUUACCAUGAUUAAGGGCAAGUUUCAAUCCAGACUCUUCACUGGAAGCACCUGAAGUUGCCACAUUAGGGCUUGCAAGAAUAGGGUAAAUUCCUCUAACACCAAGCAAGUGACGAGCCUGUGCAGAACCAGUGAAAGUCCAUUUCAAGGAAUUCGAUCUGAGACGAGGAAUGACAACAGCAAACACAGGCACUGGUGGCCUAUACUUAGCAAUCAACCUUGCUGCUCUCCCAGAGGAUGUGAACACAACAAUUAGUGCAGCCUUGACCUUAAUAGCAGCACGUACCGCUGAUGAAGCAACAGAUUCGGCAUGAGACAUAGGCUCUCCAACAUGUUUGCUGAUUCUCUUAAAAUGAACAGAAUGAUUGCGCACUGUUUCAGCCUCAGCACAAAUUCUCCCCACAAUUUUUAUUGUCUCAAUGGGAUAUAGUCCUCUAAGUGUCUCAGCACCCAAUAAAAUACCAUCAGCACCAUCAAGAACAGCAUUGGCAACAUCAGUUGCUUCUGCACGAGUUGGUCUUAGAUUUCCAGUCAUGCUAUCAACUACUCGAGUAAUUAUGACUGGUUUCCCUGCCAUGUUACACUUAUAUACAGCAGACUUCUGAAACAAGAAAACCUUUUCUGGGGGAAGGUCAAUUCCUAAAUUUCCACGACCAAGGAUAAUACCAUCUGCUUCCUGAAGGAUCUCACAAAAAUGUUUCAAGCCCUCAACAGUUUCUAUUUUGGCGAAUACUUGAGUCUCAUGGAGAUUAUUUGUUCUAAGAAAAGUUCUAAGCUCUCGCACAUCUUCUACAUUGCGAGUGUAUGAUAGAGAUAUGAAAUCAACAUUGUUACGU
rnacentral:misc_RNA from 1 species